rnacentral:lncRNA from 1 species
AUGAGCACGGCCUUCCCCUGCCCCUCCACAACGGAGAGAAGGAAAACCAAAACCAGUGUGGUGAGCAAAAAGAACCAAAGAACCACAACAAGUGAAGAGACAACAAGAGGGACAGAACUGGGAGAAAAUCACCGUACUUCCGUUCUGAAGUCCCAUAAAAACUUUGAAGGCCGUUUCUGUGUAUCCUGGCAUUGGCAGCUGAAGUGCCAUGUUCAACAGCAAUGCUCCUUCCUUCGCAGAAGGAACCGCAGCAGUUUUGAGUGCAGAAGACCACCUUCCUCUUGGCAAGUCUUUCUCUUUCUUCGUACAUGUGCAGAAUGCUUCCCAAGUUUUGUGCCCUCCUUACUUCAUAACAGUGAAGACACAUUUGCUGUGGUAUCUCAGGUUUUCAUGCCGUAUACAAUGAAAUGAAUUAGUGGAGUAGUUUUACUGUUAUAUAUUUUCUUGCCUCAUAAAGAAGCAAUUAUUGAUUGCUACUCACAUGAUCCAGACCUUCCACACUGAGCCUGUUACAUUCACACCACUGU